rnacentral:rRNA from 1 species
UUAGGAAUCUUGCGCAAUGGAGGAAACUCUGACGCAGCAACGCCGCGUGUAGGAUGAAGGCUUUCGGGUUGUAAACUACUUUCGACAGGGAAGAAAAAAAUGACGGUACCUGUAUAAGAAGCACCGGCUAACUCUGUGCCAGCAGCCGCGGUAAUACAGAGGGUGCAAGCGUUAUUCGGAAUCAUUGGGCGUAAAGAGCGCGUAGGCGGUUUGAUAAGUCUGUUGUGAAAGCCCUGAACUCAAUUCAGGAAGUGCAGCAGAUACUGUUAGACUAGAGUAUGGGAGAGGAGAGUGGAAUUCCAGGUGUAGAGGUGAAAUUCGUAGAUAUCUGGAGGAACAACAGAGGCGAAGGCGACUCUCUGGACCAUUACUGACGCUGAGGCGCGAAAGCGUGGGGAGC